CUACCUUUGUGAUCCCACACUCCUAAUCAUAUAAGCUAAAAUGUUGCACACUUAAUCUUUGGAAGAUAUAUAUAUAAAAAAACAACAACAAACAUAAGUAUAGACAAAUUAUCUUUCCAUUAGGUUGAGCGAUCUGAUCUGACAAAUGUUUUAAAUGCUACACUCAUGAUCUUAUUAUCCAUCAACUUUGUCUUGCUCACAUGCUUGAGGUUAGAGAAGAGCAAAUACACUUUUGGUUCUGUUGGUGUUUUCCACCAACAGGGCCCAUGCACUUGAUCUCUGCCUUGUCUCUAUGAGCAGGUACACUUUGAGCAAAAUAUGAAGGAGUUUUACAACUCCCAGACUCCACCAAGUGAAGAACCCAGAUCUACGAGCACAAACACACUGGAGAUAUUGGACACUCAGGCAAUCACUACCCUGAGAUGCUUGAGGACGUAACUACUGGAGUAACCCCGUUGUGGAAGUAAUUACUGAUCUUCUGCCGGUCAAGAGAGACAAUCCAGGACGCCCCGUCAUCCCGAUCUCCAUCGGUAUGGUGGACUUCCUAGAAGCACUCUGCGACUUUGGCUCCAGCGUCAACAUUAUGCCCAGGCUUGCAGAUCAGACACUAAUUUUUCCAAAGGGAAUAUUGAAGAAUCUCUGCGUCUGAGUUGGUACCUUGUACGCCCCAGCAGACUUCGUGGUGAUAGAGACCGGUACUGAUGAGAGGGCACCCAUCAUCCUAGGGAGGCCAUUCCUGAACACCUCGGGAGCUGUCAUCUACGCUAGUGCUACCAAGAUCAGUUUCUACAUCAAGGGGAGGAAGGAGACAUUUUCCUUCAAGAACAAGACUACACAAGUCUCAGAGCAAUCCCGACAUGAAUUAAGGAAGAGGACCAACAUGAACAGGAACAAGCAAAUGUGGACCAAGUCAGCUAAGAUGGUCACUCCAGUUCAAGGAGGUCAAGAUCGUUGACUUAAGUCACCAUUCCUGACCAAAAAGGACAACCCAGUCACCUAUCAGCUCCUAUUCGGAACCAUGCCCCUAAAACCGACAUACAUUCAGCUCGAGAUGGCAGAUCAGACAUUCCGAAAGGUUGGAGACAAGUACGAUCCACCCAUCAUCCUUAGGAGACCGUUCCUCAGCAUCGUUAAAGCAAUCAUCUACAUUGGAACCGGAGAAGUCCACAUGCACUUCCCCUCUGAGAAGGUACGCCGCUGUUUUUAUGACCCUAACUAUAUAGUUGAAGACUCCAAGCAGGUCAGGACAAUCAGAGAAGGCAAAUCAUCAAGGACGGAUGGGCAGACUAUGAAGGAGAAGUUGUAAGUUCUGAAGAUAUACAACUUGAACAGAACUGUCCUGAGGAGACCGUAGCACCGAGUCAGGUGUAGAGAGAGAAGAUAGUUAUACACGAAGAGGAGGCGCCGCCGGAACCACCGACUACGCCAUCCAGCGAAUCCCAGGACGACUGAGAAAAUGGAGAGUCCCGUUCGGAGGACUUAAAAACACCGAACGCCUGGCCAAGAGGUAAACUUGGUAGUUAUCCUUUCCCUUUCAAUUAUUUAAAAUAGAUUGCUUAGUUAAUCAGGUUCAUAUCAUCUCGAAAAGAAAAUAAAAAUGUUCAAAAUAGUAAGCCCCAUGUGAGUAUGCUCAUGGCAUAAAACCCAUAAGUACAUUCACUGUGGUGGCGUAAAAAUAAAAAUAUAAAAAUAAAUUUAUGAUCCUACUAAAGAGAGUAACAUUUUUUGAGGAGGCUCAACAUGAUAAGGCUAGAUAUUUAUGCUAACACUUAACUAGUUCCACAAAGCUUUGUUGUCUAUUUGAGCUCCACAGAAUUCAAGGAUCAAAGAAGACUAGGAGAAAGAGAACCUCCUAAUCGCUGUCAGGGUGCUGCCAACAUUCAAAUACACCUCCGCCACCUGCUAGCUACAUCAGAAGGAAUUACGACAAAAUCCAGCUUGGGGGAGAGCACCCCCAUUUAUCCAGCUAAGUGCUCCACUCAUGUUUAUAUUUUACUCAAAUAAUAAAAAGAUGCAUAAUCAUAAAAACCCAAAUAAAGAUUUUAUGGUUAUAUAUAUCUUUACUUAGUUUGCUAAAUAAAUAAAUAAAUAAAGUUUGCUAUGAACCAUCAUGAUAAGCUCUCACAUGGAAUGAUGAAUAGUUGCUCUGCCAUGACUAGUUCUCAAAAUUGAAAUCUCUCUCAAGUUUAGGUAUGACUGGUAUUAAUUAAGAUUUGCUCUAAACCUGAACUUGUGGGGAGAAUACUUGAUCUAAAGUCUAAGUCGUUAAUGGAUACGAUAUGGGAAGGUUGAGCUGCUGUUUAUCUGUUCCUAGAGAUGCUAGAAUUCUAGAGAAUUUUAUCUUUGAAAAUCUUUAAAAUGUUGCAUGAUGAGUUCCUGUAUGAUGAGAGUUUAAAUUCCUACCACAGCCAUAUAUACAUGCUUGCUAGACUUUGAGCCACACAUUUACUUUUUAGUGCUUAUGAGCAUUGAGUGUGGUCAAGCUAUGUAGACCCUUAGGAACUUGUCAUGUGGUUAAAUCAAGAUUCACUUACACGUUCACUCACACAUGCUGCUUCUACUCUGGAAGUACGCAUCCACAUAUAUCCACCCAUUUCCAUCUCCAGAACCACCCAAAAAUAUUCUACUCCUAAUUCGGGAGAGAAUAGCCAAAAACAUUUCUGUUUUCCCCUGUGAAAUAAAUGCUCAAGUUAUCUUGGUUACUACCACUUGCUACAUUAUUUCAAGAGAUGAGUGCUCUAAAAAAAGAGAAAGAAAAGAUACGAGAAAAUAAAAAGGGGCAAGUACCCGGAACCUCGAAAGAAAAGAAAAAGUGAGACGAGAGGUAGAAAUGGACAAGUGUCCAACAAUAGAAUUAGGGGUACAAGAUACCCACCUGAGAGAAAAGAAAAAAAAGAGAAAAUAUAGAGCAUCUCAUUCCCCUCAAAAAGCUUCAAAGUGCAAGAAAGGUAUGUAUCCCCUCAAAAGAGCAAACGUAGAAUUAGACUUUCACCAUUGUUAUCACCAUCAUCACCAUUGUUAUCACCAUUCAUUCGCCACACAUGCAUAUCUUGAUUUGACUUAUUGACUUGAUCUUGUGGAUCCAUAGUUUGACUAUGCAAUAAAUGUAUUGUAAGUAUGUAUUAGCUGUCUCCCACCUAUGAGCUCUUGAUAUCAAAACCUUAUUAGAGUAGGGUGAGAGAGAAGGAAAUGCCACUAUGCCUCAUACUAAAAAUACCACAUACUUUGAGAGAAGGCAUACACCAUUACUGCCUUGGUAAGGAUCCAGAAAUACCACAAAAGAGAGACUAGAGGAGUCAUACAAGGAAUCUCUGAGUUUUAUUUGAAAAUCUGCAAAAACUCCAGAGCUAUAGUUGAUCAAGAACAAGAGACAUGGCGCUUGACUAGACCGUUCUAUCUUUUAACUGCUCAAGACACAAGUGACGGUUGCAAGCCCCAUGGUGGAAGGUAAAAUGAGUAAGUUUAAAUCUUAACAGUUUACCCUAACCCAGAGAUGAGAUCUUGUUUGAACGCAUGUGUAUCUUUAAGGUAUGAAACCACUGCAGAAACUUUGGAGUUUAUCUUUGCUCAGGGACGAGCAAAGGUUAAGCUUGGGGGAGCUUGUUGACGGUCCUUAAUGCUCACAUUUAACCAUUAAAUAAUCAUGGAAAAGGAUCUAAAUGCAAUCAACACCCAGACUUAGGGUUUUAUCUAACAUAAUUCCACGAGUUUUGGUGUUUGUCUAUUUCUGCAGGGGAUUAUCAAGAAAUACGGACGAAAGGCCCACAUGUCGGGUUUACAUAGAGAUAUUAACGUGCCGUGCAAUUUUAUAUCAUCUAGAAGACUCCAGAAGCCAUGGGAACGAAGCGAAGGCCGAGAGGACUCAGGGACAGGGCGCUUGCCCAAGUCCUUCGGGCGCCCGCCCAGCUACAGUGUCCAAAUCGGACCUGUUUCGCGGACCACGCUCCACCGACCUAAAGGAUCAAGGAAAACCGUGCGAUUAAUGUCGGUUUGAUCCGAUAGCUUAGAUUCAUCUGAAAAGACUAUAUAAGCAAGGCCCCCUGGCCCCUGGAGAUCAUACCUCUUCUACAGAAUCAAAGCUAGGAUUUCAAUUCUUCAUCCAAGUAGAGAGGAUCCCUCUAGUUCUUCUAGUUCUACCUCUAGUUCAUCUAGAUCUAGUUCUAGUUCAUCUAGUUCUAGUUCUAGUUCCUCUAGUUCUAGUUCUAGUUAGAUCUAGUUGUAAUCUAGAAAAUAGGGAGAGAGAAGAGGAGAGCGGAGGAGGAGCCAGAUCUGUCGGAUCUUCCUCAACAUUGUACUUUUGCAGCAACUAGUUCGUUCAUCGUCGUUCUCCAGGUUCUUCAAUUCAUAAUUCCUGAGUUUUUUAGUUACUUUUAUUUACAUUCAAGUUAUUUAUUGGAUUCCCGCUUGCAUCAAGUGCUCUAAUCUUUGAAGCAUCAGAGUAGUAAUUAAUAGAUUAGACGUGGUGUUUAGUCUUGCAAUUACCUAGAAUUGCACCCAAUCCUGCGGAUUGUUGUGGUAGCCUUAGGGUAGUGACAGCCCUAACGGUCGACAUAUUCCACCUCGUUCGGAUCGGUGUUUGUAGGACCGUAGUCAGACCUUCCUAGCCCCCUUCUCAUCUCUUUCUGUGGUUAGUGCUCUGAUGUCCCGAUAUAAAUAAUCUUUGAAGUAAUUCUUGAUUCAUAGAUCAACUAGAGAACUCUCAGGAAACUUCCUCUCUUCCCACCAAAAAUAAUUAUAUAGUUAUCCUUGGGCGAUCUUGGAUCUUAAUUAGUACACUCACGUUCUCUGUGGAAAAUCGAUACUCGGGAAUACUCCCGGGUGAAAGCUACAUCGGUAUCCGUGCGCUUGCGGAUUUUUCUGUUUGCGUUUAAAAUACCCAACAGUCACGUGCACUAUACGCAAAAUGAUGAAAGCUCAUGAUAUGCGUAUGACAAAUAUUUAA
rnacentral:lncRNA from 1 species